AUUGAACGCUGGCGGCAGGCUUAACACAUGCAAGUCGAGCGGGGUGAUGGUGCUUGCACUAUCACUUAGCGGCGGACGGGUGAGUAAUGCUUAGGAAUCUGCCUAUUAGUGGGGGACAACAUCUCGAAAGGGAUGCUAAUACCGCAUACGUCCUACGGGAGAAAGCAGGGGAUCACUUGUGACCUUGCGCUAAUAGAUGAGCCUAAGUCGGAUUAGCUAGUUGGUGGGGUAAAGGCCUACCAAGGCGACGAUCUGUAGCGGGUCUGAGAGGAUGAUCCGCCACACGGGGACUGAGACACGGCCCAGAAUCCUACGGGAGGCAGCAGUGGGGAAUAUUGGACAAUGGGGGGAACCCUGAUCCAGCCAUGCCGCGUGUGUGAAGAAGGCCUUAUGGUUGUAAAGCACUUUAAGCGAGGAGGAGGCUCUUUUGGUUAAUACCCAAGAUGAGUGGACGUUACUCGCAGAAUAAGCACCGGCUAACUCUGUGCCAGCCGCCGCAGUAA
rnacentral:rRNA from 1 species